ensembl:misc_RNA Metazoa_SRP Metazoan signal recognition particle RNA
GCCGGGCGCAAUGGCUCACGCCUGUAAUCCCAGCACCUUGGGAGGCCGAGGUGGGUGGAUCACCUGAGGUCAGGAGUUCAAGACCAGCCUGGCCAACAUGGUGAAACCCCGUCUCUA